rnacentral:rRNA from 1 species
GUCUACGGCCAUGUCACCCUGAACAAGCCCGAUCCCGUCUGAUCUCAGAAGCUAAGCAGGGUCAGGCCUGGUUAGUACUUGGAUGGGAGACCACCUAGGAAGACCAAGUGCUGUAGGCA